GGGUUGUGAGGUUAAGCGACUAAGCGUACACGGUGGAUGCCCUGGCAGUCAGAGGCGAUGAAGGACGUGCUAAUCUGCGAUAAGCGUCGGUAAGGUGAUAUGAACCGUUAUAACCGGCGAUUUCCGAAUGGGGAAACCCAGUGUGAUUCGUCACACUAUCAUUAACUGAAUCCAUAGGUUAAUGAGGCGAACCGGGGGAACUGAAACAUCUAAGUACCCCGAGGAAAAGAAAUCAACCGAGAUUCCCCCAGUAGCGGCGAGCGAACGGGGAGCAGCCCAGAGCCUGAAUCAGUGUGUGUGUUAGUGGAAGCGUCUGGAAAGGCGCGCGAUACAGGGUGACAGCCCCGUACACAAAAAUGCACAUACUGUGAGCUCGAUGAGUAGGGCGGGACACGUGGUAUCCUGUCUGAAUAUGGGGGGACCAUCCUCCAAGGCUAAAUACUCCUGACUGACCGAUAGUGAACCAGUACCGUGAGGGAAAGGCGAAAAGAACCCCGGCGAGGGGAGUGAAAAAGAACCUGAAACCGUGUACGUACAAGCAGUGGGAGCCUCUUUUAUGGGGUGACUGCGUACCUUUUGUAUAAUGGGUCAGCGACUUAUAUUCUGUAGCAAGGUUAACCGAAUAGGGGAGCCGAAGGGAAACCGAGUCUUAACCGGGCGUUAAGUUGCAGGGUAUAGACCCGAAACCCGGUGAUCUAGCCAUGGGCAGGUUGAAGGUUGGGUAACACUAACUGGAGGACCGAACCGACUAAUGUUGAAAAAUUAGCGGAUGACUUGUGGCUGGGGGUGAAAGGCCAAUCAAACCGGGAGAUAGCUGGUUCUCCCCGAAAGCUAUUUAGGUAGCGCCUCGUGAAUUCAUCUCCGGGGGUAGAGCACUGUUUCGGCAAGGGGGUCAUCCCGACUUACCAACCCGAUGCAAACUGCGAAUACCGGAGAAUGUUAUCACGGGAGACACACGGCGGGUGCUAACGUCCGUCGUGAAGAGGGAAACAACCCAGACCGCCAGCUAAGGUCCCAAAGUCAUGGUUAAGUGGGAAACGAUGUGGGAAGGCCCAGACAGCCAGGAUGUUGGCUUAGAAGCAGCCAUCAUUUAAAGAAAGCGUAAUAGCUCACUGGUCGAGUCGGCCUGCGCGGAAGAUGUAACGGGGCUAAACCAUGCACCGAAGCUGCGGCAGCGACACUGUGUGUUGUUGGGUAGGGGAGCGUUCUGUAAGCCUGUGAAGGUGUACUGUGAGGUAUGCUGGAGGUAUCAGAAGUGCGAAUGCUGACAUAAGUAACGAUAAAGCGGGUGAAAAGCCCGCUCGCCGGAAGACCAAGGGUUCCUGUCCAACGUUAAUCGGGGCAGGGUGAGUCGACCCCUAAGGCGAGGCCGAAAGGCGUAGUCGAUGGGAAACAGGUUAAUAUUCCUGUACUUGGUGUUACUGCGAAGGGGGACGGAGAAGGCUAUGUUGGCCGGGCGACGGUUGUCCCGGUUUAAGCGUGUAGGCUGGUUUUCCAGGCAAAUCCGGAAAAUCAAGGCUGAGGCGUGAUGACGAGGCACUACGGUGCUGAAGCAACAAAUGCCCUGCUUCCAGGAAAAGCCUCUAAGCAUCAGGUAACAUCAAAUCGUACCCCAAACCGACACAGGUGGUCAGGUAGAGAAUACCAAGGCGCUUGAGAGAACUCGGGUGAAGGAACUAGGCAAAAUGGUGCCGUAACUUCGGGAGAAGGCACGCUGAUAUGUAGGUGAAGUCCCUCGCGGAUGGAGCUGAAAUCAGUCGAAGAUACCAGCUGGCUGCAACUGUUUAUUAAAAACACAGCACUGUGCAAACACGAAAGUGGACGUAUACGGUGUGACGCCUGCCCGGUGCCGGAAGGUUAAUUGAUGGGGUCAGCGCAAGCGAAGCUCUUGAUCGAAGCCCCGGUAAACGGCGGCCGUAACUAUAACGGUCCUAAGGUAGCGAAAUUCCUUGUCGGGUAAGUUCCGACCUGCACGAAUGGCGUAAUGAUGGCCAGGCUGUCUCCACCCGAGACUCAGUGAAAUUGAACUCGCUGUGAAGAUGCAGUGUACCCGCGGCAAGACGGAAAGACCCCGUGAACCUUUACUAUAGCUUGACACUGAACAUUGAGCCUUGAUGUGUAGGAUAGGUGGGAGGCUUUGAAGUGUGGACGCCAGUCUGCAUGGAGCCGACCUUGAAAUACCACCCUUUAAUGUUUGAUGUUCUAACGUGGACCCGUGAUCCGGGUUGCGGACAGUGUCUGGUGGGUAGUUUGACUGGGGCGGUCUCCUCCUAAAGAGUAACGGAGGAGCACGAAGGUUGGCUAAUCCUGGUCGGACAUCAGGAGGUUAGUGCAAUGGCAUAAGCCAGCUUGACUGCGAGCGUGACGGCGCGAGCAGGUGCGAAAGCAGGUCAUAGUGAUCCGGUGGUUCUGAAUGGAAGGGCCAUCGCUCAACGGAUAAAAGGUACUCCGGGGAUAACAGGCUGAUACCGCCCAAGAGUUCAUAUCGACGGCGGUGUUUGGCACCUCGAUGUCGGCUCAUCACAUCCUGGGGCUGAAGUAGGUCCCAAGGGUAUGGCUGUUCGCCAUUUAAAGUGGUACGCGAGCUGGGUUUAGAACGUCGUGAGACAGUUCGGUCCCUAUCUGCCGUGGGCGCUGGAGAACUGAGGGGGGCUGCUCCUAGUACGAGAGGACCGGAGUGGACGCAUCACUGGUGUUCGGGUUGUCAUGCCAAUGGCACUGCCCGGUAGCUAAAUGCGGAAGAGAUAAGUGCUGAAAGCAUCUAAGCACGAAACUUGCCCCGAGAUGAGUUCUCCCUGACCCUUUAAGGGUCCUGAAGGAACGUUGAAGACGACGACGUUGAUAGGCCGGGUGUGUAAGCGCAGCGAUGCGUUGAGCUAACCGGUACUAAUGAACCGUGAGGCUUAACCUUACAACGCCGAAGGUGUUU
rnacentral:rRNA from 1 species